AUUGAACGCUGGCGGCAUGCCUUACACAUGCAAGUCGAACGGCAGCACGGGAGCAAUCCUGGUGGCGAGCGGCGAACGGGUGAGUAAUGUAUCGGAACGUGCCCAGUCGUGGGGGAUAACAUAGCGAAAGCUACGCUAAUACCGCAUACGAUCUGUGGAUGAAAGCGGGGGACCGUAAGGCCUCGCGCGAUUGGAGCGGCCGAUAUCAGAUUAGGUAGUUGGUGGGGUAAAGGCCUACCAAGCCGACGAUCUGUAGCUGGUCUGAGAGGACGACCAGCCACACUGGGACUGAGAAACGGCCCAGACUCCUACGGGAGGCAGCAGUGGGGAAUUUUGGACAAUGGGCGCAAGCCUGAUCCAGCAAUGCCGCGUGCAGGAUGAAGGCCUUCGGGUUGUAAACUGCUUUUGUACGGAACGAAAAGCCCCGGGUUAAUACCCUGGGGUCAUGACGGUACCGUAAGAAUAAGCACCGGCUAACUACGUGCCAGCCGCCGCCGUAA
rnacentral:rRNA from 1 species